UGGUGGUCUACCAAUAUCAAUUGUUUGUGAAUAGGUUAUUUGUUUCGCUCAUGGUUUUUAGUUGACAUUUUAGAGGUUUUCUAGGUUUGAUAGAGUAUGUAAAUAAAUACGUGUAGAGUUUUAUUAAGUGUCAAUUUAUUGAUCUGUAGUGGACCUUCAGUUUUUUUUUGUUAGUUUUUGACAAAGGGUUUACUGAUAUUUAUUUCUUGAUACGUGUAUGAUUCGCACGAUGAGGCCAACAUCAUGUAGGCCUACGUAUACGCAUACUUAGCGAUAUAGAUGGAC